rnacentral:rRNA from 1 species
GUGCGAGUGAACUGUGGUUAAGGAACUCGGCAAAAUGCCCCCGUAACUUCGGGAGAAGGGGGGCCACUUCCUGUGUAGGAGUUUACCUCCGAAGCGGGGAGGGGCCGCAGAGACCAGGGGAAAGCGACUGUUUACUAAAAACACAGCUCCGUGCGAAGUCGUAAGACGAUGUAUACGGAGUGACGCCUGCCCGGUGCUGGAACGUUAAGGGGACGGGUUAGCUCUUCGGGGCGAAGCUCAGAACUUAAGCGCCAGUAAACGGCGGUGGUAACUAUAACCAUCCUAAAGUAGCGAAAUUCCUUGUCGGGUAAGUUCCGACCUGCACGAAUGGCGUAACGACUUUCCUACUGUCUCAACCACAGACUCGGCGAAAUUGCAUUACGAGUAAAGAUGCUCGUUACGCGCGGCAGGACGGAAAGACCCCGGGACCUUUACUACAGCUUGAUAUUGGUGUUCGGUUCGGUUUGUGUAGGAUAGGUGGUAGACUGUGAAGCUGGGACGCCAGUUCCGGUGGAGUCAUUGUUGAAAUACCACUCUGGUCGUACUGGAUGUCUAACCUCGGUCCGUGAUCCGGAUCAGGGACAGUGUCAGGUGGGUAGUUUAACUGGGGCGGUUGCCUCCUAAAGGGUAACGGAGGCGCCCAAAGGUUCCCUCAGCCUGGUUGGCAAUCAGGUGUUGAGUGCAAGUGCACAAGGGAGCUUGACUGUGAGACAGACAUGUCGAGCAGGUGCGAAAGCAGGGACUAGUGAUCCGGCGGUGGCUUAUGGAAGCGCCGUCGCUCAACGGAUAAAAGGUACCCCGGGGAUAACAGGCUGAUCUUGCCCAAGAGUCCAUAUCGACGGCAAGGUUUGGCACCUCGAUGUCGGCUCGUCGCAUCCUGGGGCUGGAGUAGGUCCCAAGGGUUGGGCUGUUCGCCCAUUAAAGCGGUACGCGAGCUGGGUUUAGAACGUCGUGAGACAGUUCGGUCCCUAUCCGCCGCGCGCGCAGGAGACUUGAGAAGGGCUGUCCCUAGUACGAGAGGACCGGGACGGACGAACCUCUGGUGUGCCAGUUGUUCUUCCAAGAGCAUGGCUGGUUGGCUACGUUCGGAAGGGAUAACCGCUGAAAGCAUCUAAGCGGGAAGCUCGCUUCGAGAUGAGGUCUCCCACAGGGUAGCCUGGUAAGGCCCCCGACUAGAUGAUCGGGUUGAUAGGCCGGAGGUGGAAGUGCGGCAACGCAUGGAGCUGACCGGUACUAAUAGGCCGAGGGCUUGACCG